rnacentral:rRNA from 1 species
UACGUAGGGUCCGAGCGUUGUCCGGAAUUAUUGGGCGUAAAGGGCUCGUAGGCGGUUCGUCACGUCGGGAGUGAAAACUCGGGGCUUAACCCCGAGCCUGCUUCCGAUACGGGCAGACUAGAGGUAGGCAGGGGAGAGCGGAACUCCUGGUGUAGCGGUGGAAUGCGCAGAUAUCAGGAAGAACACCGGUGGCGAAGGCGGUUCUCUGGGCCUUACCUGACGCUGAGGAGCGAAAGCGUGGGUAGCGAACAGG